GAUGAACGCUGGCGGCGUGCCUAAUACAUGCAAGUCGAGCGAACGGACGAGAAGCUUGCUCCUCUGAGGUUAGCGGCGGACGGGUGAGUAACACGUGGAUAGCCUACCUAUAAGAAUGUGAUAACUUCGGGAAACCGUAGCUAAUACCGGAUAAUAUUUUGAACCUCAUGGUUCAAAAGUGAAAGACGGUCUUGCGGUCACUUAUAGAUGGAUCCGCGCUGCAUUAGCUAGUUGGUAAGGUAACGGCUUACCAAGGCAACGAUGCAUAGCCGACCUGAGAGGGUGAUCGGCCACACUGGAACUGAGACACGGUCCAGACUCCUACGGGAGGCAGCAGUAGGGAAUCUUCCGCAAUGGGCGAAAGCCUGACGGAGCAACGCCGCGUGAGUGAUGAAGGUCUUCGGAUCGUAAAACUCUGUUAUUCGGGAAGAACAUAUGUGUAAGUAACUGUGCACAUCUUGACGGUACCUAAUCAGAAAGCCACGGCUAACUACGUG
rnacentral:rRNA from 1 species